UUGAGAUUGAUUAUGGAUG
rnacentral:siRNA from 1 species